rnacentral:rRNA from 1 species
CGAACGGGUGAGUAACACGUGGGCAACCUGACCCAAAAGGAGGGGGAUAACACUUGGAAACAGGUGCUAAUACCGCAUAACCAUAGUUACCGCAUGGUAACUAUGUAAAAGGUGGCUAUGCUACCGCUUUUGGAUGGGCCCGCGGCGCAUUAGCUAGUUGGUGGGGUAAAGGCCUACCAAGGCAAUGAUGCGUAGCCGAACUGAGAGGUUGAUCGGCCACAUUGGGACUGAGACACGGCCCAAACCCCUACGGAAGGCAGCAG